CCUACGGGGGGCUGCAGUGGGGGAUAUUGCACAAUGGGGGAAACCCUGAUGCAGCGACGCCGCGUGUAGGAAGACGGUCCUCUGGAUUGUAAACUACUUUCCCCAGGGACGAAGAUGACGGUACCUGGGGAGGAAGCUCGGGCUAACUACGUGCCAGCAGCCUCGGUAAUCGGUAGGGAGCGAGCGUUGUCCGGAAUUACUGGGUGUAAAGGGAGCGUAGGCGGGGAUGCAAGUUGGGUGUUAAAUCUACCGGCUCAACUGGUAGUCGCACUCAAAACUGGAGCUCUUGAGUGAAGGAGAGGCAGGCGGAAUUCCUAGUGUAGCGGUGAAAUGCGUAGAUAUUAGGAGGAACACCAGUGGCGAAGGCGGCCUGCUGGGCUUUUACUGACGCUGAGGCUCGAAAGUGUGGGGAGCAAACAGGAUUAGAUACCCGAGUAGUC
rnacentral:rRNA from 1 species